rnacentral:lncRNA from 1 species
GUCUCCAGUGGUAUUGUUUAGUUCUUUGUGUGGCUUGCUGUUGAAAUACCUGUGCAGUGACCAGCUGGAGGUUAAAGAAAGUUAUUACUUCCAGCCUGUUUAUCAUGCUUAAACUAAGGAGAAUUGGUUGCCUGGUUUACAAAUGUUCUAUUUAAACAAAGAUUCUAUAACCUUAGUUAAUACUGCUCCUCAUCUUUUGAAAGAUUAAAAAAAAUAUUUAAAAGAAAUUGUUGCUCAUCAAGAGUGGUUUGAUGCUUUUAUUGCAUUUAGGAAAUUUUCUCAGGGAGUUUCUCUCUGUUUGGAAAUUAGGAAGUGGUGUUUGGAAAGAAGAGACUGCCGACAAGUCAAGGGGAUGCUGCUGCCGUGUCACUAAGUGACCGGUGAGCACAGACGUCUUUCUCCAAGUUGCCUUAUGAGCAAGUAGUUGUGGUAAGACGUCAUCCUGUGCAGUUGAAGACCUUAGCACACUGA